UGUGUACAAACACAAAAGACACGCCGAGGGGCAGCCGGCUCCCGCCGAGAGGGCCGCCCGCCCCCAUCUAACUCUUGCCCCGGGUCCUGUACUCCCACCCCACUCCGUGCGCCCACGUCAUCGAGACCCCGAAGCCUAGGAAGCUUGCAAAUGGAAACCUGGCGUCCUGCGCCCACUUUCGGAUGGGGCUGCUGCAGCAGCUGGCGGGCGGACCGGCGGUCCUGUAACCUCUGUUGCUCCGGGCUAAGCGCGGCCGGGUCCUGCGGGUCGGGCUGAGUGCCUGCGGACAACUUUAUCCGCUCAGACUCCAGCCGCGGCGGAGCGGGCAGCCAAGCCUGCAGAACAGACUUCAUGGCUCAAGCUACCCUCAUUAACUGGCGGUUGAUUGGCUAACAAACAGCUGAACCUUCCUAGAUAUUGACAACGCUCUACAACUGUCUGUGCACGUUUUCCGUAGAAGUGUCAUGAAGACAUCCCAUAGGAUGGUGAAGGAGACAAAUUUCACAGAUAAAGGACACUACUAUCUGUAAUCUGAAGACCUCAAAAGCAUCUUAGUCAUAAACAUUAUCCUGAAACAGAUAAAUGGAAAUCAGAUAUGAGGGAAGGAAUGGAUUGGUCCAAGGUCACUUAAGUGAGGAACAGACCUAGGAGAAACAAAAUAAUCCAAGCUUGUUUCAUUAUUAUUUAAUGAAUGUUAAGUGUCCAUGGUUGCUAUACAGAACACAUAAAAUCUGCGAUCCUGUCUUAAAAGCACAUGCAAAAAAUCCUCAGCUUAGCUGCCAGCGAAGAAUUCCUACAGUUUAACCCAAGGGAAAGAGGUUUUUUUGUUUUUCUUUUUUGUUUUGUUUUCAGGAAACCAAAAUAUUUGUUGCUGGAUUUAUACAGGAAGGCUGUUGUACAUCAGUUAAAUUCAUAUUGUCAAGAAAUGUUAAAAUGACAGGGGUAAUGUUCUCUUUGUAUGCUAUAUUUUCCCAUAAGUUUCUUCUUCCAGGCUUUAAAUAAAUGCCUAAGGAAUGGAAA